AUGAGAGUUUGAUCCUGGCUCAGGACGAACGCUGGCGGCGUGCCUAAUACAUGCAAGUCGAACGCUUCUUUCCUCCCGAGUGCUUGCACUCAAUUGGAAAGAGGAGUGGCGGACGGGUGAGUAACACGUGGGUAACCUACCCAUCAGAGGGGGAUAACACUUGGAAACAGGUGCUAAUACCGCAUAACAGUUUAUGCCGCAUGGCAUAAGAGUGAAAGGCGCUUUCGGGUGUCGCUGAUGGAUGGACCCGCGGUGCAUUAGCUAGUUGGUGAGGUAACGGCUCACCAAGGCCACGAUGCAUAGCCGACCUGAGAGGGUGAUCGGCCACACUGGGACUGAGACACGGCCCAGACUCCUACGGGAGGCAGCAGUAGGGAAUCUUCGGCAAUGGACGAAAGUCUGACCGAGCAACGCCGCGUGAGUGAAGAAGGUUUUCGGAUCGUAAAACUCUGUUGUUAGAGAAGAACAAGGACGUUAGUAACUGAACGUCCCCUGACGGUAUCUAACCA
rnacentral:rRNA from 1 species